GGGGGGGGGGGGGGGGGGGGGGGGGGGGGGGGGGGGGGGGGGGGGGGGGGGGGGGGCGGGCGGUGGCGGGGGGCGGGGGGCGGGGGGGGGGGGGAUACAUCGGGAGCUACUGUGGGGGGGGGGAGAACGGAGGGAGGCUUGCGCGAAUACCGCACACGCGCUAGGGGGGAAAGCAGGGGAGCUUCGGACCUUGCGCGAUUGAAGGAGCCGAUGUCGGAUUAGCUAGUUGGCGGGGUAACGGCCCACCCAGGCGACGAUCCGUAGCUGGUCUGAGAGGAUGAUCAGCCACACUGGGACUGAGACACGGUCCAGACUCCUACGGGAGGCAGCAGUGGGGAAUAUUGGACAAUGGGCGCAAGCCUGAUCCAGCCAUACCGCGUGGGUGAAGAAGGCCUUCGGGUUGUAAAGCCCUUUUGUUGGGAAAGAAAAGCAGCAGGUUAAUACCCCGCUGUUCUGACGGUACCCAAAGAAUAAGCACCGGCUAACUUCGUG
rnacentral:rRNA from 1 species